rnacentral:rRNA from 1 species
CCUACGGGUGGCAGCAGUGAGGAAUAUUGGUCAAUGGGCGCGAGCCUGAACCCGCCAAGUAGCGUGAAGGAUGACUGCCCUACGGGUUGUAAACUUCUUUUAUAAAGGAAUAAAGUGAGGCACGUGUGCCUUUUUGUAUGUACUUUAUGAAUAAGCAUCGGCUAACUCCGUGCCAGCAGCCGCGGUAAUACGGAGGAUCCGAGCGUUAUCCGGAUUUAUUGGGUUUAAAGGGUGCGUAGAGGGGUUGUUAAGUCAGCUGUGAAAUUUUGCGGCUCAACCGUAAAAUUGCAAUUGAUACUGGCAGUCUUGAGUACAGUAGAGGUAGGCGGAAUGCGUGGUGUAGCGGUGAAAUGCUUAGAUAUCACGAAGAACUCCGAUUGCGAAGGCAGCAUACUAACCUGCCACUGACAUUGAUGCUCGAAAGUGUGGGUAUCAAACAGGAUUAGAUACCCGAGUAGUC